GGCCUUCGGGUUGUAAACCUCGGAAAUUAUCGAAGAAUGAGUGACAGUAGAUAAUGUAAGCCUCGGCUAACUACGUGCCAGCAGCCGCGGUAAUACGUAGGAGGCAAACGUUGCUCGGAUUUACUGGGCGUAAAGGGUGAGUAGGCGGACUUAUAAGUCUAAGGUGAAAGACCGAAGCUCAACUUCGGGAACGCCUCGGAUACUGUAAGUCUUGGAUAUUGUAGGGGAUGAUGGAAUUCUCGGUGUAGCGGUGGAAUGUGCAGAUAUCGAGAGGAACACCUAUAGCGAAGGCAGUCAUCUGGGCAUUUAUCGACGCUGAAUCACGAAAGCUAGGGGAGCAAACAGGCUUAGAUACCCUGGUAGUCCUAGCCGUAAACGUUGUACACUAGGUGCUUCUAUAUAAAUAGGAGUGCCGUAGCUAACGUCUUAAGUGUACCGCCUGAGGAGUAUGCCCGCAAGGGUGAAACUCAAAGAAAUUGACGGG
rnacentral:rRNA from 1 species